CUUCAAGGGUGACUAUGUGAAACCGUUGAGCUUUCAUACUCAAUUAGGCUGCCAGCGAGAAUGAACGGUUUUGAUCAGAAUUUGAUGGGCUGAACUGCUGAUUGCUUCAAAAAAAAGGGAAAAGUCUUCGCAAAAGUACGCUCGGUAUGUGUUGUUCAGAAUGCCUCUUAAUCAAACGUGCUUACUCAAAAAAUUGGUACCCGCAUCGACAGUCUUGAAGAAAAAAAUUUGUUCAUGUCUCCGCUCAAAUUGGCAACGCAAUAUCAUCUCAGACGGUUCGUCGGAGCUACAGCCGGUACAAACAAAUGGUUUUGCACGGAGGCCGAUGAAUAGUGGUUGGGGGUUUGUAGAAUUUCGGUAUUUAUUAUUUUGACCACACGAUCACAAACUUUAUAUUCGAAGUAAAAAAUGCCUUUUUUAAGCAUUUGAGUUAUCUGCUCUUGCUAAGAAAACUAAAAGUAAAUUGAAUUUUUAUACACGAUA
rnacentral:sRNA from 1 species